GCGCUUGCCUACCAUGCCAGGCAGUGUGACAAGGGAUAUCCCAGCGGAUGUAAUAUUCCUACAGCAGAAAUGUUUCACAACCUCGAUUGCAGGGAGCUGAAGACGUGACAUAUUCAGACAGAGACCAUAAUACAUAGACUGUUAUAUGGUCUCUGAUUCAGGUGUGAAGAAUCAAGAACAAAUUAAAUGACAGGAGUUUUGCAACAGUGAACAUUGUGAAGUGGAAGAUAAGACAUUUGAAAGGUACCUGGAUUUCACAAUCUGACACCAGCUACAUUUUGGAAGAUCUUGCUCACACAAUUCAGACAAGGGACUCGCCGGAUGAUGAACAGUACUCCUGAUAACAAUCAACAGAUUCACCUCAGAAAGUGAUGAUUCUGAAUGAAUAAUGCCACACCAGUGUUACUGUAGGUGGUUUUAUUAUGACACUAAUGAAGUCUGAAUGAAUUUAUGCCAAAGCACUGUGACUAUGUCC